rnacentral:rRNA from 1 species
AAAAAAAGAUUUACUGGUGUUAAGGGCUCCAGAUCCCAUCUGAUUGUGGAAGCUAAGCAGGCCCAGCCCUGGUCAGUACUUGGAGGGGGGACCACCAAGGAAUCUCAGGUGCUGUAGGCU